rnacentral:rRNA from 1 species
GAGAGAGACAUGCGCGCAUAUCAAUAAGCGGAGGAAAAGAAACUAACAAGGAUUCCCCUAGUAACGGCGAGUGAAGCGGGAAGAGCUCAAAUUUGAAAUCUUAAAGGGUUUCCCUUUACGAAUUGUAGUUUAAAGAAGUGUUUUCUGUUGAGGUUUUGGUAAAAGUUCUUUGGAAUAGGACAUCAUAGAGGGUGAGAAUCCCGUAUUUGACCUUUACUUUCAACUUUGUGAUACACUUUCAAAGAGUCGGAUUGUUUGGGAAUGCAGUCCAAAAUGGGUGGUAAAUUUCAUCUAAAGCUAAAUAUUGGCGAGAGACCGAUAGCGAACAAGUACCGUGAGGGAAAGAUGAAAAGAACUUUGAAAAGAGAGUUAAACAGUACGUGAAAUUGUCAAAAGGGAAGCGUUUGACACCAGUGUUGUUUUUCUGAAAAUCAAUUAAAGAACUGUUUAUGCUAAGCUGUUUAGACUUUAUCAGCUAACUGUUUAGUUUUGAGCUUUUCUUUAAUGCACUUUUCAGUUAACAAGUCAACAUCAAUUUCUUUUGCUGUAAAAAAGCUUGAGGAAGGUGGCUUGAGAUUCGUCUUAAGUGUUUAUAGCCUCUUGCCUAUGCAGUCGGAGAGAUUGAGGUCUGCAGCGUAGAUCCUUCGGGGCUAAAUGCAUUUGUGCUAAGUUAUAGCAUUUUAUAGACAACUUGUUGACUAUGAUUUGUCUUGUAGCUUACUCGCUUAUGUUAUUUUACCUACGCUUAGGAUGUUGAGCGCAUGUCUCUCUCU